rnacentral:rRNA from 1 species
UACAGGGGGGGCAAGCGUUGUUCGGAAUUACUGGGCGUAAAGGGCUCGUAGGCGGCCAACUAAGUCACACGUGAAAUCCCCAGGCUUAACCUGGGAACUGCGUGUGAUACUGGAUGGCUUGAAUUCGGGAGAGGGAUGCAGAAUUCCAGGUGUAGCGGUGAAAUGCGUAGAUAUCGGGAGGAACACCAGUGGCGAAAGCGGCGCUCUGGGCCUAAACUGACGCUGAGGGGCGAAAGCGUGGGGAGCGAACGGG